rnacentral:rRNA from 1 species
UUCCGGUUGAUCCUGCCGGAGAUCACUGCUAUUGGGGUUCGACUAAGCCAUGCGAGUCCAGAGUGGUAAUGCACUCGGCAAACGGCUCAGUAACACGUGGGUAAUCUGCCCUCAGGACAGGGAUAACCCCGGAAAACUGGGGAUAAUAUCUGAUAGGUGGAGAAGUCUGGAACGACUCUCCGCUCAAAUGCUCCGGCGCCUGAGGAUGAGCCUGCGACCGAUUAGGUUGUUGGCGGUGUAACGGACCACCAAGCCUGAGAUCGGUACGGGUGUUGAGAGACAGAGCCCGGAGAUGGGGACUGAGACACGGCCCCAGGCCCUACGGGGCGCAGCAGGCGCGAAAACUCCGCAAUACACGAAAGUGUGACGGGGGAACCCCAAGUGCACUCACGCAAGUGAGUGCUUUUGUGAAGUGUAAAUAGCUUCGCGAAUAAAAGCGGGGUAAGACCGGUGCCAGCCGCCGCGGUAACACCGGCCGCUUGAGUGGUGAUCACUAUUAUUGGGCCUAAAGCGUCCGUAGCCGGUUUGGUAAGUCCUUGGGCAAAUCCUGUCGCUUAACGAUAGGAAUUCUGAGGAUACUGUCGGACUUGAGGUCGAGAGAGGUCGGAGGUACUCCUGGGGUAGCGGUGAAAUGCUAUAAUCCUGGGGGGACCACCAGUGGCGAAAGCGUCCGACCAGGGCGAGCCUGACGGUAAAGGGACGAAAGCCAGGGGAGCGAACGGGAUUAGAUACCCCGGUAGUCCUGGCCGUAAACGCUGUGGGCUAGGUGUUGCAUGCUCUACGAGGGCAUGCAGUGCCGAAGAGAAGUUGAUAAGCCUACCGCCUGGGAAGUACUAUCGCAAGAUAGAAACUUAAAGGAAUUGGCGGGGAGCACCACAAGGGGUGAAGUCUGCGGUUCAAUUGGAAUCACGCGGU